rnacentral:rRNA from 1 species
CGGAGGAUCAUUAGAAGAACGAGGUCGAGGGCAUCCAUUGGGCUCACGUGAGCCUGUAUUGGAUAGUGCCCGACCCCCGCUCUUUACCUUGCCUACUGCACUACUUGUUGCUUCCUGGCGUCGGUAUUCCGGCGCCAGGAGCCCUGUUAUAAACCCCUGUAUAAGCAUUGAAGUCCUGAAACGAAACUAAAUCAUACAACUUUCAACAAUGGAUCUCUUGGUUCUGGCAUCGAUGAAGAACGCAGCGAAAUGCGAUAAGUAGUGUGAAUUGCAGAAUUCAGUGAAUCAUCGAAUCUUUGAACGCACAUUGCGCCCCUUGGUAUUCCAUGGGGCAUGCCUGUUCGAGCGUCAUCUGAACCCUCAAGCCCCUUGGCUUGGUGUUGGGUGUCUGUCCACCGCWCCUUGCGUGGACUCACCCUAAAUGCAUUGGCAGCGUCCUCUCAGCUUCUCUCGUAGUACAUUGCGUGGCGAGGCGUAGCGAGGCGCGUCCAGCAAGUCACCCUCCAAGUUUGACCUCGGAUCAGGUAGGGAUACCCG